rnacentral:lncRNA from 1 species
GAAAGAUAAAAGCCCAGAGGGAAAAGGUAGAUGGGUUAAUUUAAGGUUAAAAAAAUAAGCUGGUUAGAAUAAACCAAGCUAAGGCUGAGCAUUGAUAACUAAGAAUAUUUGGGAGCUGGGUGGUAACACCCGCCAAAGAAAAAAGAUCAAAGACAACACAACAGGCUGCAUCCUGUUAGGUGGUUGACAUAUUCCAAAAAGUGGAUAAAAUAUACACUAAUCAUAAUUUGAGUAACUUAAGGCCCCAAUAGAAAGGAGAAUGCAAACUGUUCCUCCUCUCUAUCCUGUGUGUCUCCUUGUACCAUAGACCAUUUGAAAGCUGGGGCUGUUGAUAGUACCAAAGCCUUCAUUUCCUCACAAGAACAUGGCUGCCAAUCUGGGAAGAAUACUGCAUUUUAUUCUUUAUCUACCCUGAGUUCCACAGAUAAAACAGCUGUUUGUGAGACUUGGGUGCUGACGGAGCACAUUAAUUACUGUCAUCGGGAUUUGGAUCCACUGGAGAGCUGCUGGAAGCCCUGUGGGCGUGGCUAAAGGAGACACAACCCAGGAAGGUCCUUAGGAGGGUAAGCAACAAGUCAGAGCUAAAUUCUCAGGUAAAUUAUUCUCAGUCCUUUCAUUAAGUCUAUUUUUAAGAAUAUGUAAUUUUAUUUUCCAUGUGAUAUGCACUGAAAUACUGCAAUAAAGGCAUGGCUGCAAUCA